AAGUAUAUAAGAAUUGUAGAAGUUAGUCUGAGUGCUAGACUGUGAUAGUCAUGAGCCGGGGUUAAGCUUGGUACUACAUCUUUAUUUUUUUGUUGUUGAAAAGUAAUGGAUAGUUUCUGAAUAUUGAGAAGUGAGUCUGCGGAAUAAAUCAAAGAUUGAUUUAUAAAUUAUUGAUUAUGUAAUUGGAGCACUGAGUGAUUGAAUUAUAUGAGGACUUAUUGAAAGAUUAUGAUUGUUGUUUAUUGAGAGCUGUGUGUAUUUCGAGAGAAGAAGUUUGUGAUUAGAGAAAUUAUGUGAAUGUAGAUUGUUUGGAGUGAAGUUUGUUAAUUUUGGUGUUGGAUGGAAAUUAUGUGUUUUGAGCGAUCUUUUGAGAGUGCAGGAUUACACACUGUUAUUAUCAGUUGAUGAAGGAAUAUUGUUACUAGGAGAAAAUAUUAUAAUAUUUCUUGGUGUUUUAGUAGUUAAGAAUACGACUUAUUGUGUGACCCUAAUAAGUAAGACUCAUGCACUUAGUCUUUCCUUGUGUUUGAAUUCACCUAUACAGGUUUAUUCUGAAAAGAAUUGUAGAAUAAGUAAAAUAAUAAUUAUAUUUUGGCACCGUUGCCGAGGAUAGACAAUAGCAUUGAAUGUUAGGAAUUAACUACCGGUUAGUUAGAUGGGAGAUAGGAAGCAAAUUCAAUAGAAUAAAAUGAAAGAUUAUAGUUAUUAAGAAUGAGAACUUAAAAGUUAAGAAAAUACGACAAUCAAAAGAAAGAAUAGAGAGAUCGCAAGCAAAAAAUUUGUUGCAUAAUGAAUAAAAAUGAAAGUUAAAAAAGAAUCAUCGACAAAGUUGGAUUA
rnacentral:lncRNA from 1 species